UACGGGGUGGGCAAGCGUUGUUCGGAAUUACUGGGCGUAAAGGGCGCGUAGGCGGCCUGCUAAGUCGGACGUGAAAUCCCUCGGCUCAACCGGGGAACUGCGUCCGAUACUGGUGGGCUUGAAUCCGGGAGAGGGAUGCGGAAUUCCAGGUGUAGCGGUGAAAUGCGUAGAUAUCUGGAGGAACACCGGUGGCGAAGGCGGCAUCCUGGACCGGCAUUGACGCUGAGGCGCGAAAGCUAGGGGAGCAAACGGG
rnacentral:rRNA from 1 species